AAGUUUUCCCAGAAUCAUCAUACGAAGUUUGGUUUGGUCUUCUCUUCUUCAAACUGACAACUGCCAGUGCAUCAGCUCCGAAAAUCCACAACAAUUUGGCGUCACGAACAGGAUUUCAACACAACAAAGACGUGGUAAGUGCAUAAUUUUAUUUUAUUAUUGUGCCUUACCAUGUCUGCGUUUGACGAAAUCACAAAGAAACUGUGCAUCACUUUCACUUUAAAGGUGGUCACAAAGUGAACAAAAAAAAAAAAAAAAAAAGCAAAAAGCUGAUGGUUAAAGAAUCUAAACACAUGAAAAUGUGUUGAAACUGUGCAGUGAUAAGCAGGUGCAAAGCAUGUGGUUGUGAAGAGGUAAAAAAAAAGGCAGAGUUGAGUGAGUCUUAACUCCUGCAGUGCCACAAAAGUGGCUGGGAUUUCUGGGCUAGCUUCGGGCUACGUCCGGCACAGGGGGACCCACCUGAGGUUUAAACUAUAGAAAAGACGUUUUCGGGGUAGGAUUUGGCCUAUUUCGUUUAAGCCAAGAUCGGGGAUCAUCCACUCUGUGUCCUGUGAGAAAUGUUUUCAGACUUGGGAUUCUAAGUCCUAGAGUCGGGCGCCGGUAAAAAUUUUUUCAAACAAUAAACAGUGUACACAAGACGAAGAGUUGCUUCGUCGGUUUGGCUUCAGAUCACUGCUAUUGCACCAGGAAGAGAGGUGUAAAAAAAAAGAACUUCGGUGAUGCUGGGAAAGUUUUGAUGUGUCUGUUUUGUGUUUGAUGUGUUUGUUUGUGUGAUGUUUUUAAUGUAAAUGUGUUAAAAUGGGCAACAACACGUCUAAAGCAGUGAGUAGAACACAAUCUACUACAAAAUUAAUUCAUUCACCAAAACACAAGAGAAAGAACAAAUCUGUUUCAGUAGGAAACAAACGCACCAAUUCAGAAGUAAAAGGUCAAUCUGCCAUUGAUAAGCUUCCCGAAGCAAACCCCCACACACUCACAGAUGCACAAUAUAGAGCGAUGUUUUCUCCACAAUCUCCGGCGGGAGUUGUUGGUAGAUUGAAAGGAUGGACUUUUGUGUUUCCAUUUUCUUCCCUUAUGAAUCAGUGGACAGAUGGCGAAUGGCCAUACGAAGGAGCGUUUGAUAGAGAUAAGCUUCAGAUUGCUGAGUACAAUGUUAACCCAGAUUUUGGAAAUCCAUCUUGGGAUAGUGCGUAUAUGAAAGAUUGUGUAAAUGUGUGGUUAACUGUUGCUCGUCAGAGGUAAGGGGGAGGAGUCUGACACAGAUCAUAGUGACGACACAGAACCUGCAGUCAGGCCAAAGAUGACACAGAGACGACCCCACACUGCAAGUAGCAAAACUCAGAGACGAGGUACAACUAGAAUGACACAUUCACAUCUGGAAAGACAUACAAGAUCGAAAACUAACAUUUUAGAGCCCCCUCUAAAGUACUUCACAUCUUGAACACAUCUGCUACCCAACACAUGACAGCUGCACGUCGUUCAGGCUAUGAAGCAAUCAUUCUUCAUAGUCCACACAUCACUUUAAAACGCUCACCUCCAUUGAAUCCAGCUACUCUCCUUCCAUUGAUUGACACAGAUGAUGAGCAUGAUUGCAUCACAACUAUUGACCUGUGUACAUCCCCAAGGCCAGACUUGUUGCAGACACCAAUACCCAAUUCUGAUUUGAUUUUUUACACUGAUGGUUCAGCUAGCAGACCAUCUGAUAGCACACAUCUAGCUGGCUAUGCAGUAGUUAACGAUUGGGGGGUAGUAGAGGCAAAAGCACUGCCUCCAGGUACCUCUGCUCAAGCAGCAGAACUGUAUGCUCUAACUAGAGCGUGUAUUCUUGCUUCUGGUAAGGUGGCUACUAUUUACACUGACUCAAGAUAUGCAUUUGGCGCUGCUCAUGAUUUUGGCCAGUUAUGGAAGAUGAGAGGUUUUGUGUCAUCUUCUGGAAAACCACUACAGCAUCACACUUUGGUUAAUGACCUGUUAGAUGCUAUUUUGCGCCCAUCUCAGCUUGCAAUCAUCAAAUGUGCUGCUCACACGAAUGGAACUGAUCCUGUUUCACGAGGAAAUGCAAUGGCUGACACUGCAGCCAAACAAGCGGCACUUUCCUCUCCCUCUUUGGUACUUCAAUGUGCCUCCACACAACCUACCAAUCCAAUUCCAGUUCCUUCCGCUAAUGAUGUCGUGACAAUGCAAAAUCACGCUGAUGACAGGGAGCGAAGUCUUUGGUUGCGUAAAGGUUGUAAAGUUGACGCGGAGUCUGGCUUGUGGCUCCACCCUGAUGGUCGACCGGUUUGCCCUCGAGCUCUCCUUCAUGUACUGGCACGUGUGACGCAUGGUCCAGCGCAUGUUGGAAGAGGGGUGAUGAAUGAUGUUAUUCGCUCACAGUGGUUUGCUCCAGGCAUUACUCAAGUUUCACAAACACUUGUGGAUAGUUGUAUGAUAUGUCAACAGACCAGAAAAAAGAAUAGCACAGUGAAACAUGACCACUUAGAACCCCCAUCAGGUCCUUUUGUAAAUAUGCAAAUAGAUUUUGUACAUAUGCCAAGCUCACAAGGCUUCAAAUACUUGCUAGUCAUAACCGACAGGUUCUCGAAGUGGGUAGAAGCUUUUGCAACGAAAAAAGAAGAUGCAAGAACAGUUGUAAAGUGUCUGCUAAAAGAGGUAAUCCCUAGGUACGGAGUGCCGCAGGGAAUAGAUAGCGACAGAGGUCCAGCUUUUGUGUCAAAAAUCACUCAGGGACUGUCAGAAAUCUUAGGAUUUAAGUGGCAGUUACAUGUUCCUUAUCAUCCACAGAGUUCAGGUCAAGUUGAGAGAAUGAAUGCAACUAUCAAAGACAGAUUGACCAAAACAGUCCUAGCCACAGGCCUGAAAUGGCCUGAUGCACUGCCGAUUGUGCUGUACUCCAUUCGGAGUGCACCAAGUGCAACUACAGGACUGAGUCCUCACGAGGUGCUGAUGGGAAGACCAAUGUCCACAGGGACAAGUCCCCCACUGACACCACACAAAGCUACUCUGCUUUGGACGGAUGAGUUCAUGACUGAGUAUGUGAAAAGACUAACAGAGAUUUUGAGAAAGUAUCAUUUACAGGUGGCUGACAGACUCCCCAAACCAUCGGAAGAACCAAUUCAUUCCUUUCGAGAAGGUGACCUGGUAUUAAUCAAAUCUCUGGAAAAAGUGUCUUUGUCUCCUAGGUGGAAAGGUCCAUACCAGGUGCUGCUGACUACUAGGACGGCCCUGAAGGUCGAAGGCAGGGCAGAAUGGAUCCACGCCACAAGGUGCAGACUGGCCCCCCCAACCACUGGCGGAGGAGAGCAGAGCCCUGGCAGGUAACCGGAUGGUUACUCCUUUUUUCUCUCCUGUUUAGUAGGUUCGGGCAGGGGACAGGUCAAGUCGGUCCAAAUGAGAGAGAGACAGGAGUCUCUCUGAUUCCAGGCGAAGGAGAGCGGAAAGGCUUUCCUUCUCAUGACACAGUCGGUGCCAUGAACCCAGUGCCCCAUGGACAGGGGCGCCCUUUGCAGAAUGAUCCAGAAAAUGCAGACCAAGAGCCAGAUCUUGGACAUACGGACAAAUCAAUGAGCCCAUUGGGACUCUACAACACUAUGGCGGUGGUCUACAUAUGAUAAAACACUGUUUGAGACGAAGCAGAGUUCAUCCACGUCGACGAAGAUCUUGGAGUGCAAAUUUCCAGGAGAAGGGGGGAGAACUGGUAAGCUGUAAGUUCAUGGAGAAUGAUGAUUACCCCUGGAGUGGUUACUUUGCAUCCACUAACACAAUUGCUCCAACUAAAUCUGAACCAAGGGUGCAAAACAAAUUACUGCGUAGCGCUCAGCAACCAGUAGUGCGAAAAGAAAAUUCAGCCCUUAGUCUUAUGCUUGAUUAUGCGCGUGAUCGUAAUCUCAGUAAGUGUUGGCUAUGUCAAAAUAUGCCAGCUUCAAUACAUUCUCCAAUGUCUAAUCCAAUUCCAUUCACCAAAGCUGAUUAUGAGACGUUCAAUUGGAAUGAUCUUGCUUCAAGAUUUAGAGAAGAAGCAGACGAUUGCUAUACUCCAACAUAUCCUGUGGAUGUUAAGUCAUCACAAAAUACAGAUAUUGCUCUAUACGUUGCAAGAACGGUAAAUGACAAAUAUCUGCCAAGCGGAUUUAAUUUCACCACUCUUCUCCGCAUCAUUCACAUACAAAGAUAUGUGAAACUAGGCUUUGAGUACAGAGUUCAGGUUGCUCUAGCUCAAACUAACUGUUCAAAACCUUCUGAAAAUCAAGUGUGUGUUCCCCAACCAUAUACAACCACUGCUAUGGCUGAAGCUCUAGUUUAUGUGCAACCAUGGGCUGGCACCUUAUCCAUAGGGCCAGUCAAGAUUCAGUUACGCAACUGUUCGGCGCCACAACAAAACGAGCAAAGACCUCAGCGUGACUGCUCAACUUAUCUUCCCCCUGUCUUCACUCAUGAGCUACAAAAUGUUUCUUUAUGUUUCAGAGGGAUAGGGAAGGGACAUGAAGACUUAGGACAAAGUAGCUGUAACACUGUGGUAGAUGUCACUCUUAAACAGUCCCCACUGCCUGAGAGAGUGUAUCUAGUUUGUGGUGACAGGGCCUAUCGGUGCGUGCCGUAUGAAGACUCACGCGGUGUCUGUUAUUUGGCGUACUUAAUUCCCCUAAUCAGAGAAGUAGAAUCUACUGAGAUAGCUUCACUGUAUCCACCGUUACACAUAUACAAGAGAGAAAUCUCAUCAACUCAGAAAGUAGCCAGCUUCCUUCUCCCUUGGUAUGGUGUGUAUGUGUCCCAGCAAGAGCUCUCAUCUCUCUCCAAAGUCCUAGAAAAUCAUCUUAAUGCCUCAAGCAGAGCUAUGUUAGCCGAACACAAAGAGUUGCAGGAAGUCAAAACAGUAGCUCUACAGAAUCGCAUGGCUCUUGAUCUCCUGUUAGCGGCUCAAGGAGGAACUUGUAAGCUCAUAGGCUCUGAAUGUUGUUCCUACAUCUCUGAUGCAACUGCUGACGUCAUGGACAUGGCACAUGACACAGCACUGGGUAUCAAAGAAUUGCAUGAUAGUCAUGGUUUUAACCUUGGUGAUUUUUCAGGUGUCUUUGGGUCAUGGGGGUCCGGAUUGGUCAGGUUCCUGACCACUCUUGCUGUUGCUGUCUUCCUUUUCAUCCUCCUCUGCUCAUGUGUAGGUUUGAUAAUCAAGCUGGUAGUGAAAAAGACCACAGGGUCUGUACUCCAAGCAGCCCAGGUGCAUGUCACUGGAAACACUGCAGAUCAUAAUCACACAGGUUUGAGGUAUUAUGAUUUUGAAACUUUCCAGGACUGGAUGAGGCGUUUUCACCCAGGUAUCAUUUCAGAUGAGGAGGAGGAAACUCAAAAUCUGUAGGUUUAAUGUUUCUAAAAGCUUUCUUGGUAUAAAUCACUCACACCGUGCUAAAUUGAAUAGAGUUAUGUUUGUUUGUACUUCAUAAAGUUGAAGAAACAUAUCAUUUUCUAUUUACAGGUGACAUCUUAGAAUAAUUUUUUGAUUCUUUAAUGAUGUGAUUAUUAAUCUUAUGCAUUUUUAGUUUGAGAAAAGUUGUAGAAAUAGAGUAGUGUUAAUGAUUAAUCUCCUAAAUAUCUAGUCAUCUUAUAUGUUUUUCAUUAAUGUGAUUGAAUGUUUAAUUAUUUUUGAAAUGUGUGUUUGAAAAUUGAUGAAAAUGAAGAGGAUCACUCCAGGAGGAUGGAUUCCACAUCACCAUGCAUCGUAUGUGCUAGUAACCUCUCCAUGGUGAUGGCCCUCUACUGUACGCAAAGUGCAUGGGUUGAAGACUUCACUUUGUGAUUGAUUUGUUUUAUUGUUAUGAUGUAAUCAAAUGUUUGUAUGACUCCCCUUUAAGUUGCUAGGAUUUCAUCUAGUAAGAGGCAGGAAGUGUCUUGUCUUAGGUUGUUUGCGCAUGUGACUGGUGACCUCUGUCAAUGACCUCCUUUAACGCUUUGGUGUUCUAGGAGAUCUUCUUUGAGGAUUUGCCUCACUACUGCCCCUGGUGGUUGGAAGACAGAACUCAUGGGUCACAUGACAGUUGUUUUAAAGGGGUACAUAAGAGGGGUUUUUUAUCUAAUUUACUGAUUGUUUGCUUUUAUUGUUAUUGCAUUAUGUGUUUAAAUGAUUAUGUGUUUUGAUGAUUUUACUUUUGAUUUUGUUCAAUGCAAUUGUUGAUUCUUGUAUUACUUUUGUGUGAGAAUUGUUAUCUGUUGUGCGGAUGUUGUUUCUACUCUGUUUGUGCCCUUACAGUCCACCAGUCCAGUCAUAAAUUGGUAAUUUGUAUUGAUCUUUUGAUCAAUAAGAGGGGAUUGUUAUGGAUAUUCCAUAACUGACCAGGACAACAGAAUGUCAAGCUGUACUCCUCUGUUCUCUCAAACAGAAGAUAACACAUGUUGUUUAAUAAAC